rnacentral:pre_miRNA from 1 species
UCCACAUCCAUGUAUGUAGGACCCCAAAGGAUCACUGUUAAAUUUGGCACAGAUCUCUAAAAAAGUUAUCACAUGGGUGUGAGUCUUGACUUAUAUAGAGAUCUGUGUCAAAUUUAAUGGUGAUCGUUUAGGGUCCUCCACACAUGGGUGUGGG